AUUGAACGCUGGCGGCAUGCCUUACACAUGCAAGUCGAACGGCAGCACGGGGCAACCUGGUGGCGAGUGGCGAACGGGUGAGUAAUGCAUCGGAACGUACCUUUCAGUGGGGGAUAACGUAGCGAAAGUUACGCUAAUACCGCAUAUUCUGUGAGCAGGAAAGCAGGGGAUCGCAAGACCUUGCGCUGAUUGAGCGGCCGAUUUCAGAUUAGCCAGUUGGUGAGGUAAAGGCUCACCAAGGCGACGAUCUGUAGCGGGUCUGAGAGGAUGAUCCGCCACACUGGAACUGAGACACGGUCCAGACUCCUACGGGAGGCAGCAGUGGGGAAUUUUGGACAAUGGGGGCAACCCUGAUCCAGCCAUGCCGCGUGAGUGAAGAAGGCCUUCGGGUUGUAAAGCUCUUUCGGCCGGGAAGAAAUCGCACGGGCUAAUACCCUGUGUGGAUGACGGUACCGGAAUAAGAAGCACCGGCUAACUACGUGCCAGCCGCCGCAGUAACAC
rnacentral:rRNA from 1 species